CCUACGGGAGGCUGCAGUGGGGAAUAUUGGACAAUGGGCGAAAGCCUGAUCCAGCGACGCCGCGUGGGUGAAGAAGGCCUGCGGGUUGUAAAGCCCUUUCGGUGGGGAAGAAAAGUCUCGGCCUAAUACGCUGGGACCUUGACGUAACCCACUAAAGAAGCACCGGCUAACUCUGUGCCAGCAGCCGCGGUAAUACAGAGGGUGCGAGCGUUAAUCGGAAUUACUGGGCGUAACGCGGGCGUAGGCGGGUGAAAUCCCCGGGCUCAACCUGGGAACUGCACUCGAGACUGCCUUGCUAGAGUAUGGGAGAGAGAAGUGGAAUUUCCGGUGUAGCGGUGAAAUGCGUAGAUAUCGGAAGGAACAUCAGUGGCGAAAGCGACUUCUUGGACCAAUACUGACGCUCAAGUGCGAAAGCGUGGGGAGCAAACAGGAUUAGAUACCCGAGUAGUC
rnacentral:rRNA from 1 species